CCGCAUAAGCGCACGGUACCGCAUGGUAGAGUGUGAAAAGAUUUAUCGGUAUGAGAUGGUUCCGCGUCUGAUUAGCCAGUUGGCGGGGUAACGGCCCACCAAAGCGACGAUCAGUAGCCGGCCUGAGAGGGCGGACGGCCACAUUGGGACUGAGACACGGCCCAGACUCCUACGGGAGGCAGCAGUGGGGGAUAUUGCACAAUGGAGGGAACUCUGAUGCAGCGACGCCGCGUGGGUGAAGAAGUUAUUCGUAAUGUAAAGCCCUAUCAGCAGGGAAGAUAAUGACGGUACCUGACUAAGAAGCCCCGGCUAACUACGUGCCAGCAGCCGCGGUAAUACGUAGGGGGCGAGCGUUAUCCGGAUUUACUGGGUGUAAAGGGAGCGCAGACGGGAUAGCAAGCCAGAUGUGGAAGCCCCGGGCAUAACCCGGGGAGUGCAUUUGGAACUGUUAACCUUGAGUGCCGGAGGGGUAAGCGGAAUUCCCAGUGUAGCGGUGAAAUGCGUAGAUAUUGGGAAGAACACCGGUGGCGAAGGCGGCUUACUGGACGGUAACUGACGUUGAGGCUCGAAAGCGUGGGGA
rnacentral:rRNA from 1 species